AAUUGUAAAGUAUGCUUCUAAUAUAUUUUGGUUUUAUUUGAAUGCGUGAAUAUUUUGUAGAUAUAUUUUUUUGGGUUAAUUAUAUUAGAUUCUUAAAGUAAAUAAUAAAUAUAUUUCUACAAAGUUCAACUUAAUUUCAUAUAUUAUACUUACAAAAGUUUUAAUUUUUUCAAAUAUGUUUCUCUGAUUUGUUACCGUUAGAGAACUAUUUAUAUUUUUAAUUUUGUCAUCACAAAUAUAUAUUCUUUAAAAAGUCAUAAUAAUAUAAUAUAAGAGGGAUAAAAAUAUCAAAACUAAUCAAGAUUAAGUAUUUAGCCAAUGGUUAACUAAAUUUUUCUACGGAUUCUAACGGCAGAGAUAUAUGUGAAAACAUCAGAAUUUUUACAGAAAUAACAUAUAAAAAUUAAAUUUUGUUGAAAUAUAUUUGUUAUUUACUAUAUUUAUAGUUUUACUUUUUUUUUUAUUUGUAUAAAAAGGUUGUAGUAUUUGAUAU
rnacentral:lncRNA from 1 species